rnacentral:rRNA from 1 species
UAAUUGAAGAGUUUGAUCAUGGCUCAGAUUGAACGCUGGCGGCAGGCCUAACACAUGCAAGUCGAGCGGCAGCACAGAGGAACUUGUUCCUUGGGUGGCGAGCGGCGGACGGGUGAGUA